rnacentral:rRNA from 1 species
ACCAGACUCCUACGGGAGGCAGCAGUGGGGAAUAUUGCACAAUGGGGGGAACCCUGAUGCAGCGACGCCGCGUGGGUGAAGAAGCGCCUCGGCGCGUAAAGCCCUGUCAGCAGGGAAGAAAAUGACGGUACCUGAAGAAGAAGCCCCGGCUAACUACGUGCCAGCAGCCGCGGUAAUACGUAGGGGGCAAGCGUUAUCCGGAUUUACUGGGUGUAAAGGGGGCGCAGACGGCGAUGCAAGCCAGGAGUGAAAGCCCGGGGCCCAACCCCGGGACUGCUCUUGGAACUGCGUGGCUGGAGUGCAGGAGGGGCAGGCGGAAUUCCUGGUGUAGCGGUGAAAUGCGUAGAUAUCAGGAGGAACACCGGUGGCGAAGGCGGCCUGCUGGACUGCAACUGACGUUGAGGCCCGAAAGCGUGGGGAGCAAACAGGAUUAGAUACCCUCGUAAA